AAACUAACAAGGAUUCCCCUAGUAACGGCGAGUGAAGCGGGAAAAGCUCAAAUUUGAAAUCUGGUAGCCUCAGGCUGCCCGAGUUGUAAUCUAUAGAAACGUUUUCCGCGCUGGCCCAUGUACAAGUCUCCUGGAAUGGAGCGUCAUAGAGGGUGAGAAUCCCGUCCUUGACAUGGACUACCAGUGCUUUGUGAUACGUUUUCAAAGAGUCGAGUUGUUUGGGAAUGCAGCUCAAAAUGGGUGGUAAAUUCCAUCUAAAGCUAAAUAUUGGCGAGAGACCGAUAGCGAACAAGUACCGUGAGGGAAAGAUGAAAAGCACUUUGGAAAGAGAGUUAAACAGUAUGUGAAAUUGUUGAAAGGGAAACGAUUGAAGUCAGUCAUGUCUAUUGGACUCAGCCGGUUCUGCCGGUGUACUUCCUUUAGAUGGGGUCAACAUCAGUUUUGAUCGCUGGAAAAGGGCAGGAGGAAUGUAGCACUCUCGGGUGAACUUAUAGCCUCCUGUCGUAUACAGUGGUUGGGACUGAGGAACGCAGCAUGCCUUUAUGGCCGGGGUUCGCCCACGUACAUGCUUAGGAUGUUGACAUAAUGGCUUUAAACGAC
rnacentral:rRNA from 1 species